GUGUUCAUUUUGGCACCACAUAUAUACAAAUUGGAAAAAUACAGAGAAGAUUAGCAUGAUCCCUGUGCAAGGAUGACAUACAAAUUUGUGAUAUGUUUCCUUUUUUU
rnacentral:snRNA from 1 species